GGAACAUCUGCCCCCAGGCAGACCCCAGGGUGAAGGAUUGGGUGCCUGACUGUAUGAUUCUGCUCCUCACCCCCCCCCCCAUCACUAUCUGCCCCCCAGAACAGGCUGCUGCACUGUGGGUCACCUUUGAGGACGAUCAGGAAGCUGCAGCGGGUCCAAAGUGCAGCGGCUCACCUACUCAUGGGUGCCAGAAAAUAUGACAAGGUAACAAUACAAGCAUACUGCAUCUAAGAAUACUGAGGUCCCGAGGCCUGCAGACCUAUUGGAUGAACCUGGCAUGUUUUAUUUUCUAUAGUCGCAAGAAGGAUAAGCUUUACUGGAUAGGCUAUUCAUCUUCCUUGCUGCUGUUCACACAGAAUUACAAAGUAAAGCAGAGCCUUUCUGGAUAAAACAGAUGGUCAACGAUGGUGGGAGAAAAGACUAGUGGAGGAAUGGAGCAGAAGGCUCAGAAGCCAUAGCCUCAGUCAAUAAGUUCUGGCCCUAACCAAGAUGGGGACGUCUGAGUGCCUUGCUGGAAGCUGGCUGGCAUGCAUGUAACACAUGGGGACAUGACAACUGCAUAUCUUCCUACAAGGAGAAAUAUGUCUAUGAUGGUUUCACUCAAAGCGGACACCAACCAGCAAAGGAACAGAAGUCCAUGUUUUAUUUUACUAAUAAUUUCAAUAAAGAACUGCUUCUUUGCAACUAAUCUUACUGUAUGUGCCAUCACCAGUAUUGUGCAUGCUAAAGAAACAUAAUAAUAAAACGUCUUUAUU